CUGAGUAAUGCAAAUCCUCAAGCAAUACUCUAGAUCCAAUGAAUGGAAAAAUAUGAGAGUGGAGUCCAGAAAUCUGCAUUUUAACAAACACUCCAGGUGAUUCUGAU
rnacentral:pre_miRNA from 1 species